GCGAACGCUGGCGGCAUGCUUAACACAUGCAAGUCGCACGACCGGGUUUCGGCCUGGGAGUGGCGGACGGGUGGGUAUCGCGUAGGGAUUUGUCGUUGGGUGGGGGACAACCUUGGGAAACUGGGGCUAAUACCGCAUGGACGCCUUUGGGCCAAAGCUCGAGAGGGCGCCUGACGAGGAGCCUGCGUCCGAUUAGGUAGUUGGUUGGGUGAUGGCUGACCAAGCCUGCGAUCGGUAGCUGGUCUGAGAGGGUGGCCAGCCACACUGGGACUGAGACACGGGCCCAGACUCCUACGGGAGGCAG
rnacentral:rRNA from 1 species